rnacentral:rRNA from 1 species
UAAGUAAGCUUUGAUCCAGAGAUUUCCGAAUGGGGAAACCCAGCAUGAGUUAUGUCAUGUUAUCGAUAUGUGAAUACAUAGCAUAUCAGAAGGCACACCCGGAGAACUGAAACAUCUUAGUACCCGGAGGAAGAGAAAGAAAAUUCGAUUCCCUUAGUAGCGGCGAGCGAAACGGGAAGAGCCCAAACCAACAAGCUUGCUUGUUGGGGUUGUAGGACACUCUAUACGGAGUUACAAAGGACGACAUUAGACGAAUCAUCUGGAAAGAUGAAUCAAAGAAGGUAAUAAUCCUGUAGUCGAAAAUGUUGUCUCUCUUGAGUGGAUCCUGAGUACGACGGAGCACGUGAAAUUCCGUCGGAAUCUGGGAGGACCAUCUCCUAAGGCUAAAUACUCUCUAGUGACCGAUAGUGAACCAGUACCGUGA